rnacentral:rRNA from 1 species
AGUGUAGUUGAAGUAGGCGGAAUAUAGCAAUGUAGCGGUGAAAUGCAUAGAUAUGCUAUAGGACACCAAUUGCGAAGGGCAGCUUGCUAAACUUAUAACUGACGCUGAGGCACGAAAGCGUGGGGAGCGAACAGGAUUAGAUACCCUGGUAGUCCACGCCGUAAACUAUGAACACUCGCUGUUGGCAAUACACAGUCAGCGGCUGAGCGAAAGCGUUAAGUGUUCCACCUGGGAAGUACGAUCGCAAGGUUGAAACUCAAAGGAAUUGACGGGGGCCCGCACAAGCGGAGGAGCAUGUGGUUUAAUUCGAUGAUACGCGAGGAACCUUACCUGGGCUUAAAUGUAUAUUGACGUACUGAGAAAUCAGUAUUUCUUCGGACAAUUUACAAGGUGCUGCAUGGUUGUCGUCAGCUCGUGCCGUGAGGUGUCGGGUUAAGUCCCAUAACGAGCGCAACCCCUACUUCUAGUUACCAGCAUUUCGGAUGGGGACUCUAGAGGAACUGCCUACGCAAGUAGAGAGGAAGGUGGGGAUGACGUCAAAUCAGCACGGCCCUUAUGUCCAGGGCUACACACGUGCUACAAUGGCCGGUACAGAGGGCAGCUACAUAGCAAUAUGAUGCUAAUCUCAAAAGCCGGUCUCAGUCCGGAUUGGAGUCUGCAACUCGACUCCAUGAAGCUGGAUUCGCUAGUAAUCGCACAUCAGCAAUGGUGCGGUGAAUACGUUCCCGGGCCUUGUACACACCGCCCGUCAAGCCAUGGAAGUUGGGGGUACCUGAAGUCGAUUGCCGUAAGGCGUUGCCU